rnacentral:lncRNA from 1 species
UACAUUCUUCUUGUGGACUUGCAGUGCAAAAUUUUGUGGCGGGAUCUGAUCUGUGUUAGAAUGACCUUCUGGACUUGGCGUAAGGGUCUCCUUGCUGGUGCAUUUGGUGGUUUCUGUUCUUUGCUGAAGCAUGUUUCUGGGUGGCCUCCUGUCUUUUCUGCCAGUCACGCAUGUUGGUGACCCUGAAUUUCCGGCCUCAUCCUCCACCCCUGCACAUGAGUGAGGUCAGGCUUGGUGUGCUCUGGUGACACGGUCGGUGUGGUGGAGGUGCUCUGUUGGGGUUAGCUGGGUGACUUGCUCUUGUGACUCAGCAGUGACACCAUCUCCAGAGAGUGUUGUCCUGGUGGUGAGGGCAGGGCAGUCACACAGGAACCAUGCCCUACACAUUCUGUCUUUAAAUCCUUGCACCUCCUUGCCCUGCAGGACACACAAAAAUCUGGCUGUGGUGCGGCCGCUCAUUCCUGAGUUACAGGAUCAGGUUUCCUGCUGUGGUCUCUUCUUCUGAAGGUCUUCCCUCUCCACCUGUCACUGGCAUAUGUAGAUACAGCCAACAUCUUCCUACAGUGUGGCAAUCACAUGCUACCUCGGGGUCUCAAAAGCCACUGACAGUAUGGAAGGAGAAGGGGAGGUCUUCACGCCUUCUCUCCUACCGUGCUUUCUGCCAGGCAGCAGAACAUGCGUUCUGGUGUGCUGUGAUAUAGGAAGGCGGGAAGCAAUGUGGGUGAAGGUUUGGUUGGCCUCUAAAGCUGACUGUGCCAUCGUCCCAGCAGUCACCGUGUCCACGGAUGUUUUCCACCCAGAAGAAGCAACCAGCAGGCCCCUGGCACCCAGCACUCAGCCUGGAAGUGAAAGUGGACAAGCAAAUGCCACAGAUGGUUCUCAUGUCAGUUUGAUACCUGGAGUUUUUCCAGACAUUGAUGAUCAUCUUAACCCAUUACCGACUCAUCUUUCUACUACUCUUGCCACACCUGAUGAUGGUGCUCCUCAUGAAGACCCAAUUCAGCCAACUCUGCCUUCAGAAAAAGAAGCAGCACAGAGCACUGAAGGCAUCACACAUUCCACUGAUGCCCCUGGGGGUCCAGUUCUCCUUGGGCUGGAUCCUGCCAGUACAAAUGAAGCUGGUAAGGAAUCUCUGUUCACAAGUACCAGUAAGAAUAAUGGAUCAUGCUCAUUUCUCACACAGCAUGUGAAAUGAGACAUUAUUUCUUCUGAAAUUGACUCCUUCUACUCUCUUUCUUAUCUUUGGGUCUGCAUUCUUCUUUUAGACUUGCGGUAUCAUAAACUGUUUAAUGAUCCUGUUGCAUGUUA